AUUCAUGUAUGUUUUUUCAGCGUCACGGGCUGGGCUUUACAGGUGUCCAGGAACUAGCUAUAAGUUCAUUUGACCUUUGCUAAAAUCCUAAAAACUCAAUGGAGAAACUUGCUCAAGAUCUGAAGAAGGGUUUUCUCCGUUUAGCUGAAAACCUCAAAACCUGCAAACCUUGUAGAGGAAAUGAAAAUGGAGAUGAACCCAAGUUGGAAUCUGUUGAGAAAUUAAGUGUACAAGAGAGAGCCAUCCACAUCACAGCGGCAAGGGGUCCAAAGCGCCCAAGUGUCCCUAAAGGGGCCCCUCCUCAGACCAGCUGAUUAACACUAUUAGUUCAUGGAAGUUCUGGAUGUUGUCAUCAAUGGUUUUUCACUUCAAGAUGUGUGAUUUCUAUUCUUUUUCAUUUAUUCCUUGUUCAUAUCUUUUCGGGUGUAUUUGUAAUUUUUUUUAAAGAUUUUCGGGUGUAUUUUUAAUCGUUAUUACUAGGACUAAAGAUUAUUUUGAACUCUA